rnacentral:rRNA from 1 species
ACUCCUACGGGAGGCAGCAGUGGGGAAUAUUGCACAAUGGGCGCAAGCCUGAUGCAGCCAUGCCGCGUGUAUGAAGAAGGCCUUCGGGUUGUAAAGUACUUUCAGCAGUGAGGAAGGUGGAUAUGUUAAUAGCAUACUCAUUUGACGUUAGCUGUAAGAAGAGCACCGGCUAACUCCGUGCCAGCAGCCGCGGUAAUACGGAGGGUGCGAGCGUUAAUCGGAAUUACUGGGCGUAAAGCGCAUGCAGGUGGUUUGUUAAGUCAGAUGUGAAAGCCCGGGGCUCAACCUCGGAAUUGCAUUUGAAACUGGCAAACUAGAGUACUGUAGAGGGGGGUAGAAUUUCAGGUGUAGCGGUGAAAUGCGUAGAGAUCUGAAGGAAUACCGGUGGCGCAAGGCGGCCCCCUGGACAGAUACUGACACUCAGAUGCGAAAGCGUGGGGAGCAAACAGGAUUAGAUACCCUGGUAGCUACGAGU